AGAGUUUGAUCAUGGCUCAGAAUCAACGCUGGCGGCGUGCCUAACACAUGCAAGUCGAACGAGAAAGGGGAGCAAUCCCUGAGUAAAGUGGCGCACGGGUGAGUAACACGUGACUAACCUACCCCUUGAGUGGGGGAUAACCUAGAGAAAUCUGGGCUAAUACCGCAUAAUACCCACGGGUCAAAGGAGCAAUUCGCUUA
rnacentral:rRNA from 1 species